CCAGUGUGGAUACACCCGGGAGGUCACUCUCCCAAGCUCUGUGCAAGUGGCCCAGGGAGCACGGGGCUCUGCCCCAUUCCACGGCGCUGGAAGUGAAGCCGCCUCAAGUCUGUGCCUGCGUCCUCUUGCAAUCCCCAGAGUGCUCUGGGCAGUGACUCAGGAGACAAGGCACGCAGGAAACAGCG
rnacentral:snoRNA from 1 species